GACGAACGCUGGCGGCGUGCUUAACACAUGCAAGUCGAACGGAAAGGCCCUGCUUUUGUGGGGUGCUCGAGUGGCGAACGGGUGAGUAACACGUGAGUAACCUGCCCUUGACUUUGGGAUAACUUCAGGAAACUGGGGCUAAUACCGGAUAGGAGCUCCUGCUGCAUGGUGGGGGUUGGAAAGUUUCGGCGGUGGGGGAUGGACUCGCGGCUUAUCAGCUUGUUGGUGGGGUAGUGGCUUACCAAGGCUUUGACGGGUAGCCCGCAUGAGAGGGUGACCGGCGACAAUGGGACUGAGGUACGGACCAGACUCGUACGGGAGGCAGUAGGGGGGAGUCUUGCGCAAUGGGCGGAAGCCUGAUGUAGAGACGCCGCGUGCGGGAUGCCGGGCUUCGGGUUGUAAACAGCUUUCGACUGAAACGAAGCGGGAGUGACGGUAAUGGGUAAAGAAGCACCGGCUAACUACGUG
rnacentral:rRNA from 1 species